UACGAAGGGGGCGAGCGUUGUUCGGAAUUACUGGGCGUAAAGGGCGCGUAGGCGGUCCUUCAAGUCAGGCGUGAAAGCCCCGGGCUCAACCCGGGAACUGCGUCCGAUACUGGUGGGCUCGAAUCCGGGAGAGGGAUGCGGAAUUCCAGGUGUAGCGGUGAAAUGCGCAGAUAUCGGGAGGAACACCAGUAGCGAAGGCGGCUCGCUGGGCCAUCCCUGACGCUGAGACGCGAAAGCGUGGGGAGCGAACAGG
rnacentral:rRNA from 1 species